GAGGGGCUGAGGGGGGAUGUCAGCGGCGACUUCAAUGAAACGUGAUUUGUAGGUCAAGAAAAAACAGUAUAAAUGGUGCCAACAUGAUCAUUUUGAUCGCCCAGUCUUUUGACUUCAGCUUGUCUCUGUGGUACCCCUCACGAUGAAGGCACUGCUCGUACUGCUCGUGCUUAUUGCCGUCGUUGCUAUGACAACAGCAACUUUUGGUCAUAUUGGCCUUCUUGGCAAUCCCUUCCUUGGCAGGUUUCCUCUCUUUGGUGCUCGUUUUGGCAUACCUUUCCGGUACCCGAUCUUUGGUCUUCCAUUCCGCCGCUUUGGAUUUCCCAUAUUCUAAGAUCGUCCAAGAAGCCGAAAGAGGCGCUGACAAGAGCACAAGGUUCCAUGUGACCAUCGUAUGAACUUGAAAUGGCUGCAUAGCUAGUCAAGAUUCUGUUGGUAGUUGCAUUGAAAUAAAUCGGGCAAACUAUAAA